AGAGUUUGAUCAUGGCUCAGGAUGAACGCUGGCGGCGUGCUUAACACAUGCAAGUCGAACGGAGUUUUUUAAACGGAAGUUUUCGGAUGGAAGUUUAGAAACUUAGUGGCGGACGGGUGAGUAACGCGUGGGUAACCUGCCUCAUACAGGGGGAUAACAGUUAGAAAUGACUGCUAACACCGCAUAAUAUAGUGAAACCGCAUGAUUUUUGCUAUCAAAUAUUUAUAGGUAUGAGAUGGGCCCGCGUCUGAUUAGCUAGUUGGUGGGGUAAAAGCCUACCAAGGCGACGAUCAGUAGCCGGCUUGAGAGAGUGACCGGCCACAUUGGGACUGAGACACGGCCCAAACUCCUACGGGAGGCAGCAGUGGGGAAUAUUGGACAAUGGGGGAAACCCUGAUCCAGCGAACCGCCGCGUGAGUGAAGAAGUAUUUCGGUAUGUAAAGCUCUAUCAGCAGGGAAGAUAAUGACAGUACCUGACUAAGAAGCCCCGGCUAACUACGUGCCAGCCGCAGC
rnacentral:rRNA from 1 species